rnacentral:rRNA from 1 species
GAUGAACGCUGGCGGCGUGCCUAAUACAUGCAAGUCGAACGAACAGACGAUGAUCUUGCGCGUCUCACGUUAGCGGAGGACGUGUGUGUAACACGUGUAUAACGUACCUGUAUGACGGGUAUAAUUUGGAGAAACGGGAUCUAAUACCGUAUAAUAUAUUGAACCGCGGGGGGGGAUGGUAAAAGACGGUGGUUCUGGCACUUAUAGAUGGAUCUGCGCCGCAUGGGCUAGUUGUUAAGUUAAAGGCUUAUGAAGGCAACGAGGCGUAGCCGAACUGAGAGGGUGAUCGGCCACCUUGGAACUGGACCACCGUCCAGAGGACUACGAGACGCACCAGUCGGGAACCUUCGGCAAUGGGCGAAAGUCUUACGGAGUAACGCCGAGCGAGUGAUGAAGGUCUUCGGAUCGUAAAAAUCUGUUAUUAGGGAAGAACCACUGUGUAAGUAAAUAUGCCCGUAUUGACGGUAACUAAUCAGAAAGCCACGGCUAACUACGUG